UCCAGUCUCUUCCAUAUUGGCUUCAGAAUUGAACGGACAGUCGAAUCCAGUUGGAGUUCGAAAUCCGUGGCAAUCGAGAAUUCUAGAGUAAUCUAGUUUUCUCAAACCAACAAAGAUGAGAGCGAAGUGGCGUAAAAAGAGGAUGCGAAGGCUAAAGCGCAAAAGGAGGAAGAUGCGUGCGAGGUCCAAGUAAAUCUCCCGUUUCUCAUUCUCUGUGGCAUUAAUAUUGUGUAAGAAUAUUAAUAACUGACCAUCACCAUCAGUAUUGCAGAAUUUUAGCUCAGAGAAAUAUUUUAUAAAUAACUUAUCUUGUUUGGAUUAAUAAAUAAGAUUUUUCAAGAUAUA